rnacentral:rRNA from 1 species
AGGACGAACGCUGGCGGCGUGCCUAACACAUGCAAGUCGAACGAGGUCCAACCGGUGGCAACACUGGUGAAGACCUAGUGGCGAACGGGUGAGUAUCACGUGAGCAACCUGCCCCGAAGACCGGGAUAACACCGGGAAACCGGUGCUAAUACCGGAUACCCCCACCGGAUCGCAUGGUCUGGUGAGGAAAUGAAUUUUGCUUUGGGAGGGACUCGCGGCCUAUCAGCUUGUUGGUGGUGUAACGGACCACCAAGGCUUCGACGGGUAGCUGGUCUGAGAGGACGAUCAGCCACACUGGGACUGAGACACGGCCCAGACUCCUACGGGAGGCAGCAGUGGGGAAUCUUGCGCAAUGGGCGAAAGCCUGACGCAGCAACGCCGCGUGAGGGACGAAGGCCUUCUGGGUUGUAAACCUCUUUCAGCAGGGACGAUGAUGACGGUACCUGCAGAAGAAGCCCCGGCAACUACGUGCCAGCAGCCGC